GAGAGGUCCAGAAGACCUGCUAACU
rnacentral:tRNA from 2 species